rnacentral:rRNA from 1 species
UACGUAGGGGGGCUAGCGUUGUCCGGAAUCAUUGGGCGUAAAGAGCGCGUAGGCGGCCAGAUAAGUCCGGUGUGAAAGUCACAGGCUCAACCUGUGAAUGCCGCUGGAAACUGUCUGGCUAGAGUCCGGGAGGGGCGAGUGGAAUUCCUGGUGUAGCGGUGAAAUGCGCAGAUAUCAGGAAGAACACCCGUGGCGAAGGCGGUUCUCUGGGACGGUACUGACGCUGAGACGCGAAAGCGUGGGGAGCGAACAGG